ensembl:lncRNA
UUUCACUGAAAGUACAGUUACUCAAGCAAGUGGAAAGCAGUUCAAAAGGGUAAAGUUGCAGCUGGUCCUGAAGCUCAUUCUGAAGUUCAGCUCCCACACGUGCAAAUGGCACAACAGCACUAACCAGGCCCUGCAGAUACCUUGACUCGAGCAACAUUUUAAGACAACAGAACAGCUGAAAUCUGUAAAGGAGGUCAUGAAGAAAGGAUAUCUGGAGUCAACUUGGCUCACACAUCUUAGUCCAGAAGAGGCACUGAUUCAGCUGGAUGGGACACAGCACUCAUUGCUGGAGGCCUGAAGUUUCCAAAGAGAUUAAGAUAACUUUGAUGACAUUUCUGGAGGAUGAAGAGCAGCAAUGAUAACUGAGACUAUACGUGUGAGUGCCAUUCAAAAGGGCUUAGGAAAUAUCAGUCACACCCUGAGGGUACAUCUAAUCUGGACUGCACUCCCUGCUCCUAGUCAAUACACAUUUCAUCAUGUCAUCCAAGCUGAUUGCCAAGAAUCCUUCCUACUGAAUCAUAUAUUUCUGAGCUGCCAUCACUCCAAACUGCAUGGCUGCCAUGUUCACAUCUACUGGUGUCAGCACUGCAAAAGGAGAUGAGAAAGAUCCUUAUCCCCAUUUGACAACCCUCUCCUGGACCAGAACAGAAGCACAUGGAUCCUAUCCCUCCUUCUUCCCUCCUUUAGCAAAGUCGGACAUAACUGGAGCAGAAGCUUCAACAGACAUAGCAGCAGACUCCUGUUCAAGUGCUCUGAAGAAGGGUAAGGAAAGUGAGAGUUCAUGUGGUAAAAUAACAAAACAAAUAUCUGAAUGGCCACAGAGUGCAUGUUGUGAUUUGAGAGGUUUGUGGUUUUAAAUAAAGUAUAAAUGAGCAAUAAGAUUAGAAACUUCAUUUGUUAAAGUUUGCAUUUCCC